AGUGAACGCUGGCGGUAGGCCUAACACAUGCAAGUCGAACGGCAGCACAGUAAGAGCUUGCUCUUACGGGUGGCGAGUGGCGGACGGGUGAGGAAUACAUCGGAAUCUACUUUUUCGUGGGGGAUAACGUAGGGAAACUUACGCUAAUACCGCAUACGACCUACGGGUGAAAGCAGGGGAUCUUCGGACCUUGCGCGAUUGAAUGAGCCGAUGUCGGAUUAGCUAGUUGGCUGGGUAAAGGCCCACCAAGGCGACGAUCCGUAGCCGGUCUGAGAGGAUGAUCAGCCACCCUAGAACUGAGACACGGUCCAGACUCCUACGGGAGGCAGCAGUGGGGAAUAUUGGACAAUGGGCGCAAGCCUGAUCCAGCCAUACCGCGUAGGUGAAGAAGGCUUUCGGGUUGUAAAGCCCUUUUGUUGGGAAGGAAAAGCAGCAGGUUAAUACCCCGCUGUUCUGACGGUACCCAAAGAAUAAGCACCGGCUAACUUCGUG
rnacentral:rRNA from 1 species